UUUGGUUGCCAGGGUUGGUUGGAUUCCUUCCCUGGGCAGGGACGUUUGGCCCUACGUUCCUUUUCAAUUUUUGUUCCCUUCUUGGGCGGCCUGAUUGGUUUCCUGUGNUGCGUACCUACUAUUGACGGUAUUCGGUUGGCUACAUUUCCCUAGUUCGCCUUAUGCUUCCCGUUGAUUCGGUGCGGGCUGCGGGUGAUCCCUCAAGCGUGCUUUGUGUUCCCCGGCAGAACUCGUCAGUCGUUGUUUUGUCGUGGCGCGCAAAUUUUCGCUCGGGCUCUAGGAUGCGGAAUAUGCAACGGACACGGGGUCCUCGGCCCCUAUAAACCUCGAAAGCUAUAUGCUCACAAGAACGACGUCCGGUUUUUAGAGGGCGGCUCGUCGCGCGGCCCGGUGUCAGUGAGGAAUGUUACCUGGUGAUCCUGCUCAGUAGUCAUAUGCUUACCC
rnacentral:misc_RNA from 1 species